rnacentral:rRNA from 1 species
CGUGGGUAACCUGCCCAAGAGACUGGGAUAACACUUGGAAACAGAUGCUAAUACCGGAUAACAACACUAGACGCAUGUCUAGAGUUUAAAAGAUGGUUCUGCUAUCACUCUUGGAUGGACCUGCGGUGCAUUAGCUAGUUGGUAAGGUAACGGCUUACCAAGGCAAUGAUGCAUAGCCGAGUUGAGAGACUGAUCGGCCACAUUGGGACUGAGACACGGCCCAAACUCCUACGGGAGGCAGCAG